AUGAACUUCAAUGCAAGAGACAAUGACUUCAAACAAGUUCGGUCUGCAAAAGGUGGUGGAACCAGGCAUGUCUCUAUAGAUGUGAAUUCAACCAUGAAAGAUGUGCAGGAAAUAGCAGAGGGUCUCUUUUUUCCAGAUGGUAAAUCCAGACAUCUAGAUCUGAAAAGUUUGGACUGUGAGAUUCGAGAUUUCUCCCACAGAAUGAUUGAAUCGGAAUGUACCAUUGGAGAUUUGUAUGAAGCAAGUAAGGUUAAAAUUCUCAGACUUUAUCUUUUUACAAAGUGCAUCAGUACACAGAAGAAUACAGAAAACUCUGUCACAAAUCCUGAAGCAGAUGUCAAGUUGAAUGAAAGUGCCCAAGAUGACAACCAAGCAUCUAGCAGCUUUAGCACCAAUGGAAGUGAAACAAUUGACCUCACAUUUUCAGAGGAGUCUGAAGAGACCAAUUUCAUGUUACAUGAUCCACUUUAUAUUAUGGCCCAGCAAAUAUCAGUCAUGCAGAAUGAUGAUAUAAUUGAGGUAGAGAACUGGGAGGACAGUUUCCAAGAACAAAUGAUAACACUGAGUCAGGAAAGUGAUUUAACUAAAGAAAAUGUGAACACAUUGCAAGUACGGAGCCCAGGGGCAUUCAACUCCAGUUCCACAUCACAAAAUGUAGAGGAACAACUGAUCACAACUGAUGUGGAAGAGACACCAUUUGAGGAAUCAUUUGAUAAUGAAGUCACAAUUGGAGGAGGUUCACUUCAGUUUGGAAGCUUGGAUGAUACAGUUCCAAUUGAGAUACCAAAGACUAUUAUUUUGGUGCGAAGAGGACAAGUUCUGGGUGAUCUGAUGCAAGCUUUCAAUGACCCAGCAAUGAUGGACAAAGAGAUCAGUAUUCGAAUGAAACUACCUAAUGGGCAGAUUGAACAAGGCAUUGUAUCAGGUGUUUUUCGUGACUGCUUGACAGAAUUCUGGGAUGAAUUUUAUUCCAGAUGUUCUUUGGGUGCAGAUGUCAAGGUCCCAUUCCUUAGACAUGAAUUUCAGAGCGAUGAAUGGCAAGCUAUUGCAAGAGUAUUGGUCAAAGGAUGGGAAGAAGUCAAGUACUUUCCUAUUCGUCUUUCCCUGCCAUUUCUUGAAGAAGCUUUAUAUGGUACCACAUAUAGUAGUGUCUUAGAUUCGUUUAUGCACUACAUAGCAAAACAUGAGCGUGAUGUCAUUGAAGAGGCAAUGGCAAACUUCAACUCAGCUGAUCAUGAGUCACUUCUUGAUGUUCUUGAUUCCAAUGAUUGUCACCAGAGGCCUACUGAAGUAAAUCUACCUCAACUUUUGGAACAGUUAGGCCAUCAAGCUCUCAUCCAAACCCCUAUGUUUGUGAUUGAAUCCUGGAGACCUGUUCUUAAGGAUUUUGCUAGUACUUUGUCACCACAAAAGCUAGCAAAUAUUAUUCAAGAGCAAAAACCAACACCCAAGCGUGUAAAGGAUAUCCUUGUUUUUCCUGAAGUCAUGACAGCCCAGCAGUGCUGUGUAUCAAGAUUCCUGAAAAAGUACAUUAUGGAAUUGGAUGACAACACCUUAAAAAACUUCUUGCGCUUCUGCACAGGGGCUGAUUUGCUCUUUGGGAAACAAAUCAUGGUGAAUUUCAUUGAAACAAGUGACUUCCAGUGUCGCCCACAAUCUCACACAUGUGGUUGCUCUCUGAUGUUGCCUUUAAACUACCAGAACUACCCAGACCUCCGCAGUGACUUCAGUGCUGUUCUUAACAGUUCAGUUUGGGUGAUGGAUGUUAUAUAA
ensembl:lncRNA